CACGGUUUGGAUGAUUUGCAAUCUCUCUCACUCCCUUCAAGAGAUCCCCUGAGCAGACCUUGCAUGGAGACUGAAUGACUUUUCAUCUCUCAAGAGGGUGGUCCCUUCAGUGCAGUGCUGAAUUAGUCCUUUGGAAUCCCUGAAUGGGACCAAGGGAAGAGGAGAUGGGAACAAGAAGGUGGGAAGGGAAGGAAAGCGAAUGAGAAGUAGACGAAGGAGAAAAGAGGAGAAGCAAUGGAUGCAGGGAGCUAUCCCACAAAUACCUUACUUAGAGGGAAAGCCACUACAGACUACUGAAACCUGCCAAAUUCCAGUGCAUCCUACCCAGAAUUCCUACUUCCAGAGGACAUUACGCUGUUUGGAAUGAGACCAUAAUGGCAUCCCAGUCACAAUGAGGUAGUUUAUUUCUGGAGGCACUUCUUUUGGGCACCCUGCUUUAAGCAAUAAUUACUUUAUAAUAAAAAUUAAACUGAAGGGUUGAUAUCUGGAUGUGAGAUCAGAUCCAAAUUAGGCUAGGAUUUGGUUCAAAACCUUAACGGGAUUAGGGUUUGGAUUUGAUGGCACUGAAAUAUCAUGAGUUAUUUUCACAAGGUUUUAUCCCAGUAUGAUAGAAAUUUAACCUGUUUUGAAGGUGCAGGUAUUUGAGGAACACUUUUAAUCGGAUUGGUAGGUAGAUAUUUAGCUUACAAUGUACCCACAAGUACUUUCAAGUAACAUUUCUGAGUCAGGUCAGAAAUGCUGAUGAAGAAACAUGCUAUCAGCCCUGCAGACCAGUAAACAUUCUAACAACAUAUUUACUAAGGCCAUGAUUCUUCAAAGCUCAUAAGUACAUGCUUAAC